rnacentral:lncRNA from 1 species
GGCCAAGUGAGAAACAUGAAGAUUAGAAGUGCAGCACAUGCCUUCUGAAGAAGCCAGGCAUGGAACAGUUCUGGGAACACAGCACUGAUAAAACUCUUAGGGAUGAAUUUACCUAUACCUGUGUUUCAGCCUUGUGAUCUGGGUUUGGCACGAUGAAAUGCUACUUUCAGAAAGAUGAGUAUGUCAGAAUCCCUGGUGAUUUCUAACGCUUAUGGAACACAUCACAUAGGAGCAAUUUAGAUGACAAAAAAGAGCACUCUUCAGUCUGGAUUUACACUGUGUUCCUAUUCACCGACACAUCAGCAAACAUUAUAAAUGCCUUGCCUGAGU